GGAUUGCCCCAGUAACGGCGAGUGAAGCGGCAAAGGCCCAAAUUUGAAAUCGCGCCCCUUUGGGGAUCGAGUUGUAAUUUGCAGAGGGUGCUUCGGCGUUGGCGCCGGGCCAAGUCCCUUGGAACAGGGCGCCUGAGAGGGUGAGAGCCCCGUUUCCGCCCGGGUCGCCUCCGCCGCCAGAAGCCCCUUCGACGAGUCGGGCUGUUUGGGAAUGCAGCUCCAAGCGGGAGGUAAAUUCCUUCUAAGGCUAAACACCGGCCGGAGACCGAUAGCGAACAAGUAGAGUGAUCGAAAGAUGAAAAGCACUUUGGAAAGAGAGUCAAACAGCACGUGAAAUUGUUGAAAGGGAAGCUCUUGCCGCCAGACCGGCCGCGGUCGUCGCAUCCACGCCCCUGUGUGUGGUGUACCCGUCCGCGGCAGGCCAGCGCCGGUUCGGGCGGUCGGACAAAGGCUCCAGGAAUGUGGCCCCGCUCGCGGGGUGUUAUAGCCUGGGGUGCAAUGCGGCCAGCCCGGACCGAGGCACGCGUUCGCUAGGGCGCUGGCGUAAUGGCCGCAAGCGACCCGUCUUGAAACACGGACCAAGGAGUCUAACGUCUGCGCGAGUGUUUGGGCGGAUAAACCCAUGCGCGUAAUGAAAGUGAACGGAGGUGGGAACCCCCCAAAAAGGGGCGCACCAUCGACCGAUCCUGAUGUCUUCGGAUGGAUUUGAGUAAGAGCGUAGCCGUUACGACCCGAAAGAUGGUGAACUAUGCAUGGAUAGGGUGAAGCCAGAGGAAACUCUGGUGGAGGCUCGCAGCGGUUCUGACGUGCAAAUCGAUCGUCAAAUCUGUGUAUAGGGGCGAAAGACCAAUCGAACCAUUGACCAGGGGUUAUCUUGUAGCGAGCGUCGCGGGAUGCCAAUAGCGGCGAGCGUUGCUUCAAGUUAGCUUCACCUGCUACUAGGUGGUUAAGAGAGUAAAAUAGACCUAGUGGGUAUAAAUUGCUCUAGGAAGUAGGGGACCCCUCUACAGUCCACGUAGCCAAUAUGCGGGGACAUCCUCCAAUGGCAGCGUAGUACCGCGGCUGUAUAAUACGGUGCAGCACCGGCCUAUACUAUAGGUCGGGGAUGGUCAAAACCUACGACAUGCCUAUUGUAGAGGACGAUCCGCAGGCGCUCGCGCCUGACAGGAAGGCAAUGAGCGGUUCACGGACUAGAAGGCUACGGGCGUCGAAACAAACCGGCGUCCAAGAUAUAGUCGGAAGGCCCUUGUAACGGGGGGUAGUCAAUCAUUGACGUGGCAAGGGAAAANCACCAGUUGCUAGUAGCUGGUUCCUGCCGAAGUUUCCCUCAGGAUAGCAGUAACGCCUCCAGUUUUAUGAGGUAAAGCGAAUGAUUAGAGGCCUUGGGGUUGAAACAACCUUAACCUAUUCUCAAACUUUAAAUAUGUAAGAAGCCCUUGUUGCUUAGGUGAACGUGGGCCUUCGAAUGUACCGUUACUAGUGGGCCAUUUUUGGUAAGCAGAACUGGCGAUGCGGGAUGAACCGAAAGCGGGGUUAAGGUGCCGGAGUGGACGCUCAUCAGACACCACAAAAGGUGUUGGUUCAUCUUGACAGCCGGUAAGUGACCUAAGGAAACCCUCCUACAAGACACCACGGAGAAGAAAGCUAAUGCGCUCCUUUUAGGACGGUGGCCAUGGAAGUCGGAACCCGCUAAGGAUCGUGUAACAACUCAGUAAGUCACCGGCUAUAAAGAUCCGUACAACCUUUGUACAGCAUGCUAACGAGGAAACCCUGCAGCCGGCCGAAUGAACCAGCCCUGAAAAUGGAUGGCGCUCAAGCGUCCCACCCACACCCCGCCGCCGGGGCGGAAGCGAAGCCCCGGCGAGUAGGCAGGCGCGGGGGUCCGGUGACGAAGCUCANGGGGUGACCCCGGGCGGAACGGCCCCUGGUG
rnacentral:rRNA from 1 species